GUUUUGUCCAGAGCUGGGGCACAAUGUAUAAAGGUUGCCUUCUGGCCAGGCAGAGCAGAAGUUACCGAAAAGAAAGUGCCCGCCAGGACCGAGGUUAACUUCAGUUCUGCAGGGGGAUAUCUUGGCCAGCUCCAGGAGAGCGCCCCGACCCCAGAAGGAGGCAGUGAACGUGCCCCGGGACGGCGCAGUCCGUUGUUGUCCCGGCAACGCACCCCGGUCGCGAGCGCAUGCGAGUGCGAGCCCGUUCCCCAUCUGAUGCACGCCACCCCCAGCUCGAUCCGGAAGGUUCUCCCUCGUCCCCCUCACCUCGGGCGCCUGCCCGGGCGACGCUCGUACACAACGGUCACUACCUGGUCGGGGCGCGCGCCGGCCGCUGGAGCGUGCGGACACGACGGGGAGGAGUCACAGGCGUCGCGAGCGCGCAGGGACCUCCCCGGCUCCAGAUAUGGCGGACUGCAAGUCCGAGUGGCUCCGGCUGCCGGGGUCCUGGUCUCAUGGUGUUACCCGGGACGGGCGCGUCUUCUUCAUCGAUGAGGAAGCACAGCGAACAACCUGGCUGCAUCCAGCGACAGGCGAGGCCGUCAUCAGCGGGCACCGCAAGACGGCAGAUCUACCAACCGGUUGGGAAGAAGGAUACACCUUCGAAGGGGCGAGGUAUUACAUUAAUCACAAUGAAUGGAAGGUAACUUGCAAACAUCCAGUUACAGGACAUACAUCGCAAGAAAACUGUAUAUUUGUCAUGAAUGACGAUUUCAGAACUGCUGCAGCAAUACCGUCACAAGACAAAAAAGAUCGACCAGUGAGCUUGGUCAGCGAAGUUUCUACAUAUACCAUGGCAUCCGAAAUGGCUCUGCUUCCAACUAGUCCUGUUUGCCGAUCAUCAAGACCUUCAAAGAAAAUCCACAACUUUGGGAAAAGAUCGAAUUCCAUUAAGAGAAAUGCAAAUGCACCAGUUAUAAAACAUGGCUGGCUUUACAAACAGGACAGUACUGGUAUGAAGCUCUGGAAAAAACGUUGGUUUGUACUUGCUGAUCUCUGCCUGUUCUAUUAUAGAGUCACAAUUCAUUCUCCCUCCCUAAACUGCUCUUCAGAAGGUGAUGGUGAGCUACCCUUAAGAACCAAUACAAUGCUAUUGGGGUAGGUGUCCGACAGUAGUUUUGAAUAAUGAAUUUAAGAACUUAUUUCCAAGUGAGCAUGGUAUGUAACUUGGAGGGAAACCUGCAAGACGGCAGUUCCACUAUGUUCCCUGGCCUUUACUUUCUUUGUGGUUGAGUCCCAUCAAAGCAGCUUUGGUAAAUUCAACUGACAUUCAUUUUGCAUGUGACACAUAUGUGUGCUGGUGGUGAAAAGAAUGCUAGUUUAGACUGAUUAAUAGGAUACUAAUCCAACAGGCAGCUUUGCCCUGGUUGGUGUUGAUCCUCCUGAUGGUUGUUGAAGCUCCACACAUCCAAGCAGGUGGAAAGCAUACUUGUGCAUUACAGACAUCCCACCCUGCAAAAACUCAUUUCAGGGAGGUAGAACCACCAGCCCCACCCCCCGCAACCCCAUAUCCCCCCCCCCCCCGCGGUCAACCUCCAAGGGUGUAUGUAUACAGAACAUUUGAUUAUAAAGGAACACAACAAUUUAUUUGAUCAUAUAUUGAAACUAUUUACACACAUACAUGCAUACACAUUCCUUGUUGAGUAUUUUGUUGGCAGUCUCAAUGCUAAUAGCUAAAUGCUAAUGCAACUAGCUUUGCUAUUUUUCAAACUUUCCUUGUAUUGUGAUGUGGCUUGCUUGGCAGAUUUGAGCAUUUUGCCGGAAGUCUCAACCACAUAGCAGUCUGUGUCAAUGAAUUUGUUAAUUUUGCAAGAGAUCAAAUUCACAAGUGUUUUGUGAGACAGCUGACUUCUGAAUUCUGUCUUAAUGUGACGCACCAUGCUGAAUGCCCUUUCUACAUCACAAUUAGAAUUUGACAGCACCAAGAGCAUCUUCAUCAACUAGCAGAGCUCUUUGAAUCUCAACUGACACUAAACUGAACUGAUGGACAGUGAAAGAGAGCGAGAGGUUAACUGUAAAGCCCGCCCACAGAGGAAACUGAUAGGUCUACUUAGCACAAAGAGAGACUAAUCAGGAUGCUCUCUCUGUCACUCCCUCUCUCCCUCUCUCCCACUCUCUCACACUCACUCAAAAAAAAAUCGAUUUCUGGGAUAUUGUAUAUAAUUUAGUGGCGUCAGGGAGCCACUAUCAAUAUGCGGGAGACUCCUGAAACUUCCAGGAGAGGUGGGAUGUCAGGCAUUGUAGAUAAUGGAAUCGCCUUGGGAUGUCAGGGUGUGUGAUACCUAACACAGAUACCCAGAUUUUGUCUUGCUCUUGUAGGCACGAUAUUCAAGUGGCUGAUUCAUUUGAGCUUUUGUUCAUCGGUAGGAGGUUUGGUUCUUUCCUGUGGGAAAACUCAUUGCAUGGUGAUUCUGUGCUGUGAAGUUGUCUGAUGCCUGUCAGUUUAUGCCUGAAUGUUGUCAGGGGCUUGUUGAAUUCAGGCAUUGCCUGCUUCAUUUGCUGAAAAAUUGUGAAAACAUUGAACAUGGUACAGACAUCAGUGAAGACCCAACUUUUAAUGAUGGAAGGAAGGAUAUUGAUGAAGCAGUUGAAAAUGGUUGCGCCUAUGUUACUAUUCUGCGGAAUUCCUGCAGUGAUACAGUAUCCUGGGAUGGAGGUGAUUAUCUUCCAAUGACCACAGCCAUCUUUUAAGUGAAGUGUAACUCCAACCAAGGAGUAUUUUUACUUUGAUCUCAUUGAUUUCAGUACCAGGAAACCCUUAAUGUGGUCAAGUGCUACCUUACUCUUCAGUUCUGGAAGUCAGCUCUCUUUGUCCAUGUUUAGACUAAAGUUGAAAUGAGGAGUCUGGAGUUGAGUGCUCCUGGAGAAAAGGAAAUUAUUCCUUGUUUACUAGUUACAGUAAGUGCUGCAUAAAAGCACUGCCAAUAACAGCUUCCGUCAUGCUGAUGAUGAUUUGUGGUAGAACAUACCUCAGCAAUCUUCCACAUUGCUGAAUACAUUCUAGUGCUGUAACUGUGUACUGGGCCAGUCAGGCUAGAGGUGCAACUAAUUCUAGAAUGCAGAAUUAUAGCUGGAAUGUUGUCUCAUCCUGCCUCCUUUUUUUUGUGCCAGUGCUCUCAGCUGUUUCAUGAAAUGAAUCAAAUUGUCUGGAGUGAUAGUGCCGAGCUGCAAUGGUCACUUAUACCAGUGGUACCUGCCACAGACAGACUGGGGAAGAAAAUGUCAUUAGUUCUUUACUCAUGUUUUCUACCACAGACCCUGUCUGGCAGCCAUGUUUUCAGAUGUUGGCCAGCUAGGCUAGUGAUGGUAUAGCUAAACUACUCUAGGUAAUGGAUAAUUGAAAGUAAAUUUUAAUUGAAGGAAUUAACUGGUAAGACUAUUAUAUAUAUUCAUUAUUUGUUUCAAUAAUGCCACAACUAAAUGCAAGUUUAUUAGAGUAAACAAAGUGUGAAAUUAGAUUUGGGCUCAACAGUUCAAGCAGUUGAUUACAAAAACAUAGGAACAGGAAUUCAGAUUAAGCAUACUUGAGCAUUCUUUUUCUCAAUAUAAUUUUUUGUUUGCAUGUUAUCUGCAGUUCAUUCAUUUGAUACCUUAUCCAUUAAAAACAUUAUUUUGUUAUAAAUUUAACCUACAGUAAAAAACAUCUAGAUAGCCCAAUUUUUAAAGAUGAUAAUUCCAAAUUUACAGUGUUUUUUAUGUGAAACAAAUGCUUCCUACCUUUUAAAUAGUCUAACGCUAAUUUUAAAGGUACAUGCCACAUUCUGAUUUCCCCUUCCAGAGAAAAUUGCUUCUCUAUCUAUUCAAUCAAACCAUGUUAAGCAUUUCUCAGUCUGGUGAUUUUAAUGUGAUCAGUGUCCCACUCAAAAUCCAUUUUUUUAAUAGACCUCCAAUUAUUCAAAAUCUUGUUCUCUAUUCACAGGAUUUGGGUAUAAUUGGCAAGCCAAGUAUGUAAUAUGUGCCCUUGCUUACUCUUGAGAUGGUAAAGUUGAGCCACUUUGAACUACUGUAAUCUAUCCCAUAAUACAGUUGAGUAGGGUGUUCCUGGAAUUUGAGGAACAGUGAUAUACUGUAUAUUUAAGUCAGUUGGAUAACUUGCUCCACAGUCCUUGGUGAAAUAGGGUUGGAUAGUGCCCUCAAGGAAAUCUUAUUGUCCUAUAUAUUUUGUUGAUGAAGCAGGCUGAAGCCUCCAUGUAUCAAGGUUAGAAGAAUAGCAGCAUUACUCUGGAUGGUGUUGAACAACUUCGGUACUGUUAACAUUACAUUUACACCAGAAGUUUUUCACAAAGCAGAACAGACUUGUUGGGCCAAGUAGCCCAGUUCUGCUUCUAUGUCUUAUGGUCAAAUGCUCCUCUUUUGUGUUGUUUCUUUCUGAAGGUGACCUAGCAUUUCUCCUUGUGAUAUUUCAUUCACUUAGCCCACCUGCAUCUCCUUGCAAUUUGACUGUAUCUCCAUCACUUUGGUGAUCAUUGUGAGAAGACAUUGAGACAGUAAUUUCCCAGAAUGGAUUUGUUCUACUUAAUGUGAUCAGGGUCAGGCUUGCACAUGUCUUGUUGUGUGCAAUCCAGUGCUUUGCUUAAUAUUAUGCAUUGACCUAGUUUUACAAUCAUGUUCAGAUUCUGUACCAGCUGACUGCUUUGUUCUUUCAGGAGAGAAGUUAGAACAUCAACAACACUGUGGUGCUGGAAUUAUGUUUUGGCUGGACCAGGUUAUAAACUGAGAAUUUCCUUCCCUCACAGAUAACUCUACUGAACUAGAUGGAAUUGAUUCAUGAAAUUUAAAUUAAUUGAACCUACCUCCUUAAGUUUACUUGUAGUUGUGUCUCUGGAUUAGAAUAGAAGAUGAUGGAAAUGUCUUCAGCAUUUUUUGAUUAUAUUUCAUAUUUACAGCAUCAGUGCUUCAUUCUUGAAUUCUGUCUCUGGGUCGUUAAGAAAAGUAUCUACAGGUUAAAUCCAGGAAUUCAGUCACUUAGCCAUUGUCCCACAUAAGGUCUUUCACAUCUGUCAAGUCUUCUGACUGGUAUACAUUUUGGCUAAUUUAUUAAUCAAAUCAUUGUGCUCAAGUAUUUCCCCCAAUCUUCCCAGCUGACUCUGUAAUCUCCUGCAACCUUCCCACAUCCUGAAGUCUUCUCUGAAUUCACUUUGCGUUUUGCCCAUUAUUGGCAAAAAUCCUUUGGUCACCUAGAAUUCUUUCCCUAAAUUUCUCCUCUUUCCUACCCCACACCAUUUCCCCAUCUCUCUAUAGCUUAAAUGUCCUACUUGAGAUUAAUUUUCACGGAGUUUCUAACUAUGCCUAUAAGAAUGACUUUUGGAUGCUGUUGUUAUUUUUACAUGCAUGCCGAAGAGAGUUAUUUUUUUCUUCAUUCCUGGCAGAUGAAAAGGAAGAAGGCAUUUUAGGAAGCAUUCUUCUUCCUAGUUUUAAGAUAACUCCAGUUAUGCCUGAAGAUCAUAUUAACCGAAAAUAUGCAUUUAAGGCUGCCCAUUCAAACAUGCGAACCUAUUAUUUCUACACGGAAACAGCA